rnacentral:lncRNA from 1 species
UAGAAAUCCUAUAUAAGAUCCUAUAAGAUCUUAUAGGAUCUUAUAGGAUCCUCUAGGAUUCUUUUAAGAUCCUAUAUUUUUCAGGAUCCUAACAAAUUCCUGUCCAAGAUCCUAAAAGAUCUUAAAUGACUUAAGAUAUUGGCUGAUCCUAAACAGAAAAUCCUAAUUUAUUCAGGAUUAUAAAUAAGAUCUUAAAAUUCUUACAGGAUCAUAAUCUGAUCAUAAAUAAUAAAAUAUGUACUGGGAACUGGGAAAAUGUAGUUUCCCCAAUCCUGUCAUGCUUAAUUGCUACAAUUUUGUUUGCUUAACUGUUUAAAAUAUCACACAAUAAGAACUAAAGAUUUCUCUGAGAUCUUAUAAUUCUUAUGGGAUUUCCUUCUUCAAUAUUUAUAUAUUGUACAGGAUUUUUUGGAUAUAUAUAUUCCUAUGAAAUUCUUACAGGAUCUAUUUAAGAUCUUACCAUAUUCUUACAGGAUUUUUUAAAGAUCUUAUUAUUUUCUUACAAGUUUCUUCAAGAUCUUAUGAAAUUCGUCAAGGACAUUUUUAAGAUCUUACCAUAAUCUUACAAGAUUUUAAAAAAAUCUUAUUGUAUUUUUACGGGAAUUUUUUAAGAUCUUAUUAUAUUCUUACAGGAUUCUUCAAGAUCGUAUGAAAUUCUUACAGGAUUUUUUUAAGAUCUUACCAUAUUCUUACAGGAUUUUUUAAAAAUCUUAUUGUAUUCUUACAGGAUUUUUUAAAGAUCUUAUUAUAUUCUUACAGGACCCUUCAAGAUCUUAUGAAAUUCUUACAGGAUCUUUUUAAGAUCUUACCACAUUCUUACAAGAUUUUUUAAAAAUCUUUUUGUAUUCUUACAGGAUUUUUUUAAAGAUCUUAUUAUAUUCCUACAGGAUUCUUCAAGAUCUUUUGGAAUUCUUACAGGAUCUCCUUAAGAUCUUACCAAAUUCUUAUACAUAUUCUUAUCAUAUACAGCCCAACAUACAUGCAGCCACACAUGCACGAAAGAUAAUGUAUAUCUACUAUAUCAUGAUAUCAUAGUUUAAUGAUAUAUUUAUUAUGUAUUUUAUGUAGCAGUGGUAUGGUAUGUGGUCCUCUGCGUCUGCGAUAACUAAAAAAUUUCAAGGGAAGCGCAGUUCCGUGUAUGGAAGCACUGCGUCAAAUUCAAAUUUCAAACGCGCCAUUUUACAACUGUAAACUGUAAUUUCACUUCGUCUGUCUUCCUUCGCUUGGCGUUUUAUAUACUUUCGACACAAUUUUAGUGUUUUAAAAAAUGGCCAAUUGUGCGAUUUCUUUGUUGAAAGAAAUAUGAAGGCAAGUUCCCGAGGCAGCGUCUCUUAUCGAAGGGCCAAUUCUUCAAAGUUAUAUGGUACUUCUUAGGCACUGGUGUAUGGACUACCAUGAAAAAUGUGUUCACAACAGCAUAUUAUCAGAUGGAUCUGGAUUAUCCACCUGAACAUGAGAUAAGUCUCACAUUUCUGCAUUACAUAGUGUUUGUUGAUAUAGCUGUGCUAAGCCUUUUAUUGUUUAUAUUUUAGGGCCAUCUCAAUGUUGUUAAGCCAUUUGCAAGGGGAAAACAUUUUGCAAACUGAGGACUCUGAAUUCAUAAGGUUUUCAAAGAGACAAAAUUAAUGGUGGACAUUACCGCAAAAUAAUUUUCUGGGUAAGCACAGGAGGUUUUCAUGAGUAGCCAAAUCACAGAAAUUAAGACAAGUGCUUAAUUUCUGCAUUUUGUCCUAAUUGAAACCUAGAUUGCUUCCACGCACUGUAGUCUAAUCCAGUUUCCUCUUUUUAUUAUGUCAAAUACAGUCAGUGAUGGUGAAAUAUGGGGACAAGGCAACUCAAUGGAUGGCCUGAAAUUUGGCAAAGUCUCAAUCAGAAGUGCCAGGACAAAGUAAGACAGUACAAAAAAAAUAUCAAUGUCUACAGAACUAAAAGACUAAAAAGAUGAACAUUAAUUUGAACUUUAUCUGGGGUAAUAUUUGUCUUAUAUUUUGAUAGAGUAAUUUUUUAUGUAACGCAAAAAUAAACAUUAUUUAAUACAAUUUACCAUGUUUGUGUUGUGUUAUUUAUCUAAUAAAUUUAGAUAUUUUGUUUAAGAUCAAGCUUUGAUCCUGCAUUCCUAGAAUCCUAAAAAGAUCUUUAGGAACUUAUAAGAUCCUGCCUAGGAUCCUAAAAGAAUAUUUAGGAAUUUAUAAGAUCCUGCCUAGGAUCUGAAAAGAAUAUCUAGGAAAUUAUAAGAUCCUGCCUAGGAUCCUAAAAGAAUAUUUAGGAAAUUAUAAGAUCCUGCCUAGGAUCCUAAUUAAGAUACUUGUAGGAUCCUAUAGGAAUCUUUAAAAUCCUACUUAAGAUCUUAUUUAAGAUCCUUUAAGAUCUUAUAGGAUCUUAUAGGAUCCUAUAGGAUCUUAAUGUAAGAUCCUAUAAGAUCUUAUAGGAUCCUAUAGGAUUGUAUUGUAAGAUCUUAUGCAAGAUCUUAUGCAAGAUCUUAAUAAGAUCUUAUAUAAGAUCCUAACUAGGAUUUCUACCAGGGUUGUAA